rnacentral:lncRNA from 1 species
GCCGGUUGCCAGGAUUCGAUGUGGGUUUGUCUGCCUUCCCCAGCCCAUGCCAACCCGCCCAGCAGGCCCCACUGCCUUGGUGACGCAUCACAGAGUCCACACAAAGGGAGGCUGCACUGCCUGCUGGGAGGCUGGUGCUGCCUGGUGUCUCCAUGGCGACGCUGACAUCACGGGGCCGGCUGCAGUAGGGCCCCAGGGGAGGCUCCCAGUGUUCUGGGGAGGAGGCCGGGUGGGUGGGCCUGCCUGCCCUGGGUCUGGGGGGGUCCUGACCCUGCCUGUCCCCACCUUGCCCAGGGCCCGUCUGAGACGCUGUCUCCUGACCCAUAACAGAGAGGGCAGUCUUCACCCGGGACUGACUGUGAUCAUGGAUAAGAUACAGGGAGGGCUGUCGUGAAGACCAUUCUGGUGACUUCCAGGGAAAGGCAGGGGCGGCCUGCACCCCUGGACUGCCUGGGCCUGUGAUUGACUUGGGGUGGCCUCACCCUCUGCCUCAGUUGUUCCCUCCGUAAAAUGGGCACAGAGCUCUCCGACAAAAUCUCACUACGUAGCCCAGGCUGGCCUGGAACUCUCAGUGAUUCUCCCACCUCAGCCUCCUGAAUGCUAAGAUGACAGCUUCCUGGUCCUUGAUGCAGACCAGAAAAAAGGAAGAGGAGGAAGAGAAGGAGGAGGAAGAGGAAGAAGAGAAGGAAGAAGAGGAAGAAGAGAUGGAAGAAGGGGAAAGGAGAUCUGGAGCUGUCUCUUUAAAUCUUUCUAGAAGUCCAACAGAAAUAGAACAUUUAUCUGUGUGAAGGCUACACAGGCUUAACUAAAAAUGUCAAGUUUCUUUGCUGGAAUUUUAACAGGGAACAUGAUAAGUGUACAUUUAUUCAGUAAUGAUCAAUUCCGGGUUCUCUUUUGUAUGAGAUGAAAUGGUGACAUGCUGCUCAGAAGCUCUGCUUGGUUUUGUUUCAUACAAAAUCACCUCUUGAAGUAAUAAUUGCUGGAUGAAUGUUAUCUGAUUGUCCUAAACUCUUGCUCUUCUCUCUGUGUUGUGUGCCCUGGGGAGAGGCUACAAAGAUGGGAUAAUAAAAAAGUAAAAUGUUUGCUUUAAAAAAAAUUUUUUUUUUAAUUUUUUUUUUAGAUAGGGUCAUGGUGGCUCAUGCCUGUAAUCCCAACACUCAGGAGCCUGAGGCAGGAGGAUUGCUGUGACUUCAAGGCUAGGCUGGGCUACAUAGCAAAACCCUGUCCCCAAACAAAACAGGCCAAGGAUUUAACUCAGUGGCACCACACCUGC